rnacentral:ncRNA from 1 species
AGGUCUGUGGUUGCAAGUCGAUGCCAGUUGCAGGCGAAACGAUCCACGUAAGCAGGAUAAUUUCCUGUGAGCACGGUGCAGCUUAGAAGUAAGUCCUGCCGCAAAAGCGAGAGAAUUAGUAGUGGGGAGCUAGAGCGCUUAGGAGCGAACGUUCCAGCAGGCGAGUGUGGGGACGAAAACCAGGUCAGCUGGA